ensembl:lncRNA
AUGGGGCGCACAUUGCCAAGACCUACGAGUUCACGGCCUCUGGACUUCAACCCAAAGGUUCAUGCACAUAAAUCAGUUAGAGCUGUUAACUGUCAUGAAGGCCUUCCAAUCCUUCCUGCUGCGCAUACAAGGGUGUGCAGUGCAAUUGGUAACAGACAAUACCACAGACAAGGUGGAACCCGAUCCAAACCUCUCCUUCGAUUGACCAUUCGAUUUUGGAAAUGGUGCCGUUCACACGACAUUUUCCCACAAGCGAUCCAUAUUGCUUCCAGGGACAGCUCCCUGACGGACCAUUUGAGCAGGCUGCUCACCAGAAUGCACGAAUGGGCUCUAGACCAGGCGGAUUUUUCUCGAACUUUGCCACCAUUGGGGGCAGCCCACACUAGACCUCUUCGCAUCCCAUCUCAAUGGCAAGUGCGACUGGUACUGCUCCAGGGCGGGCAUGGACGCUUCCUCCCUCGGAGAUGCUUUCCUCAUACCGUGGUCGGGAGAACUAACUUACCUGUUUCCCCCAAUACCACUGCUUUUCAGGACGGCAACCAGGAUUAUCCAGUACCGAAGAAAUGCAGUCCUCAUUGCCCCAUGGUGGCUGAGGCAGCCCUGGUUUGCUCACCUAUCAGAAAUAACGGAGGAAGUAUACCACCUACCUCAGAUACCGUCCCUCCUCUUGCAGAACAACGGGGCCCUUCUCCAUCCCGAUGUCCGGUCCCUUCACCUGACGGCGUGGAGGAUAACCCCCGAUUCCGUGAGGUACUAGAUCAAGCGCGAAAGCCAUCCACCUCUCACCUAUACAAGGGUAAAUGGAAAGCCUAUACCAAGUUUGCCCAAACCAAAGGCAUGACCACAGUACCGGUAUCCCUACCCACAGUACUUACCUUCCUGCUGCAUCUCUUCAAUAUGGGACUUGCUCACUCCACUCUCAAAGUCUACAUUUCCACAAUCGUCGCUCACCAACCUCCUCGAUCCCGCUCUGCCAGACUCUUUUCCGACCCUACACUUAAAAGAUUUUUAAAAGGCCUCCAAAACAUACGACCUCCUUCUCAAAACAUCGUACCACAAUGGUCCCUUCCACUGGUACUGGAAGCCCUCACCAAGCCAUCAUUUGAGCCGAUGGCUACCUGCUCAGAGAAGUUGCUCUCUCUAAAAACCACAUUCCUGGUGGCUAUCACUUCGGCCAGAAGAGCGAGUGAACUCGCCGCUUUACGGUCAGACCCUCCUUAUCUCCAGAUGCCUCCCGAUAAGGUCACCUUGUACAUGGACAUCUCCUUCCUAUCAAAGGUGGUAUCGGACUUUCACAUUAAUCAGUCCAUUGUGCUUCCAACAUUUUUCCCUUCUCCGACUACGCUGUUAGAGGGCAAACUCCACUCUAUCUAUGUCAGAAGGACCCUUGCCUUUUACCUGCAUCGUACCAAGCACAUUAGACGCUCUCUGCGUCUUCUCCUGUGUUACCACGGAUCACGUAAAGGUGCUCCUGCUUCCCCUCAAUCACUAGAUGGAUUGUUCAACUCAUACAGCUGGCUUACCAGCUGGCUCCUAAGCCUGUUCCGGAUGGACUGA